ACGAUGUGGGAAGGCCCAGACAGCCAGGAGGUUGGCUUAGAAGCAGCCAUCCUUUAAAGAAAGCGUAAUAGCUCACUGGUCGAGUCGGCCUGCGCGGAAGAUGUAACGGGGCUUAAGCCGCAUACCGAAGCUGCGGAUAUCCGCAAGGAUAUGGUAGGGGAGCGUUCCGUAAGCCUGCGAAGGUCGCCUGCGAGGGCGGCUGGAGGUAUCGGAAGUGCGAAUGCUGACAUAAGUAACGACAAAGGGGGUGAGAAGCCCCCUCGCCGAAAGCCCAAGGUUUCCUGCGCAACGUUAAUCGGCGCAGGGUGAGUCGGCCCCUAAGGCGAGGCCGAAAGGCGUAGUCGAUGGGAAGCAGGUUAAUAUUCCUGCACCGCGCAUGACUGCGAUGGGGGGACGGAGAAGGCUAGGUUAGCCGGCGAACGGUAGUGCCGGUUUAAGCGAGUAGGCAGUCGUCCCAGGCAAAUCCGGGGCGGCCAUGUCGAGACGCGACGACGAGUCCCCACGGGGACGAAGUAAUCGAUGCCCGGCUUCCAAGAAAAGCCUCUAAGCUUCAGGUCAUGUGCGACCGUACCCCAAACCGACACAGGUGGGCAGGGUGAGAAUCCCAAGGCGCUUGAGAGAACUCUGGUGAAGGAACUAGGCAAAAUAGUACCGUAACUUCGGGAGAAGGUACGCCCCUGGUACGUGAAGCCCCCUGCGGGCCGAGCGGAGAGGGGUUGCAGUGACCAGGCCGCUGCGACUGUUUAUUAAAAACACAGCACUCUGCAAACUCGCAAGAGGACGUAUAGGGUGUGACGCCUGCCCGGUGCCGGAAGGUUAAGUGAUGGGGUUAUCUUCGGAGAAGCUCUUGAUCGAAGCCCCGGUAAACGGCGGCCGUAACUAUAACGGUCCUAAGGUAGCGAAAUUCCUUGUCGGGUAAGUUCCGACCUGCACGAAUGGCGUAACGAUGGCGGCGCUGUCUCCACCAGAGACUCAGUGAAAUUGAAAUCUCGGUCAAGAUGCCGAGUACCCGCGGCUAGACGGAAAGACCCCGUGAACCUUUACUAUAGCUUUGCACUGGACUUUGAACCUACUUGUGUAGGAUAGGCGGGAGGUUAUGAAGCGUCGACGCCAGUCGACGUGGAGCCGACCUUGAAAUACCGCCCUGGUACGUUCGGAGUUCUAACCUCGGCCCGUCAUCCGGGUCAGGGACAGUGCAUGGUGGGUAGUUUGACUGGGGCGGUCUCCUCCUAAAGCGUAACGGAGGAGCGCGAAGGUACCCUCAGCGCGGUCGGAAAUCGCGCAACGAGUGCAAAGGCAUAAGGGUGCUUGACUGCGAGACAGACAAGUCGAGCAGGUACGAAAGUAGGUCUUAGUGAUCCGGUGGUUCUGUAUGGAAGGGCCAUCGCUCAACGGAUAAAAGGUACUCCGGGGAUAACAGGCUGAUACCGCCCAAGAGUUCAUAUCGACGGCGGUGUUUGGCACCUCGAUGUCGGCUCAUCACAUCCUGGGGCUGAAGUCGGUCCCAAGGGUAUGGCUGUUCGCCAUUUAAAGUGGUACGCGAGCUGGGUUUAGAACGUCGUGAGACAGUUCGGUCCCUAUCUGCCGUGGGCGUUGGAGA
rnacentral:rRNA from 1 species